rnacentral:rRNA from 1 species
UACGGAGGAGGCAAGCGUUAUCCGGAAUUAUUGGGCGUAAAGCGUCCGUAGGUGGCUCUUCAAGUCUGCUGUUAAAGAGUGGGGCUUAACCCUGCCAAGGCAGUGGAAACUGAAAGGCUAGAGAGCCGUAGGGGUAGAGGGAAUUCCCGGUGUAGCGGUGAAAUGCGUAGAGAUCGGGAAGAACAUCGGUGGCGAAAGCGCUCUACUGGACGGUAUCUGACACUGAGGGACGAAAGCUAGGGGAGCGAAUGGG